UACGUAGGGGGCAAGCGUUGUCCGGAUUUAUUGGGCGUAAAGAGCGUGUAGGCGGCCAAGCAGGUCCGCUGUGAAAACUCGAGGCUCAACUUCGAGAGGUCGGUGGAAACCGUUUGGCUAGAGUCCGGAAGAGGAGAGUGGAAUUCCCGGUGUAGCGGUGAAAUGCGCAGAUAUCGGGAGGAACACCAAUUGCGAAGGCAGCUCGCUGGGACGUUACUGACGCUGAGACGCGAAAGCGUGGGGAGCAAACAGGG
rnacentral:rRNA from 1 species